rnacentral:rRNA from 1 species
AGCAGCCGCCGCGGUAAUACGUAGGUGGCAAGCGUUGUCCGGAAUUAUUGGGCGUAAAGGGAGCGUAGGCGGAUCGUUAAGUUGGGGGUGAAAGCCCGGGGCUCAACCUCGGAACUGCCUUCAAUACUGGCGAUCUUGAGUAUGAGAGAGGUGUGUGGAACUCCGAGUGUAGAGGUGAAAUUCGUAGAUAUUCGGAAGAACACCAGUGGCGAAGGCGACACACUGGCUCAUUACUGACGCUGAGGCUCGAAAGCGUGGGGAGCAAACAGGAUUAGAUACCCCAGUAGUCCCUGUCUCUUAUAC